GUGAGUAACACGUGGAUAACCUACCUAUAAGACUGGGAUAACUUCGGGAAACCGGAGCUAAUACCGGAUAAUAUUUUGAACCGCAUGGUUCAAAAGUGAAAGACGGUCUUGCUGUCACUUAUAGAUGGAUCCGCGCUGCAUUAGCUAGUUGGUAAGGUAACGGCUUACCAAGGCAACGAUGCAUAGCCGACCUGAGAGGGUGAUCGGCCACACUGGAACUGAGACACGGUCCAGACUCCUACGGGAGGCAGCAGUAGGGAAUCUUCCGCAAUGGGCGAAAGCCUGACGGAGCAACGCCGCGUGAGUGAUGAAGGUCUUCGGAUCGUAAAACUCUGUUAUUAGGGAAGAACAUAUGUGUAAGUAACUGUGCACAUCUUGACGGUACCUAAUCAGAAAGCCACGGCUAACUACGUGCCAGCAGCCGCGGUAAUACGUAGGUGGCAAGCGUUAUCCGGAAUUAUUGGGCGUAAAGCGCGCGUAGGCGGUUUUUUAAGUCUGAUGUGAAAGCCCACGGCUCAACCGUGGAGGGUCAUUGGAAACUGGAAAACUUGAGUGCAGAAGAGGAAAGUGGAAUUCCAUGUGUAGCGGUGAAAUGCGCAGAGAUAUGGAGGAACACCAGUGGCGAAGGCGACUUUCUGGUCUGUAACUGACGCUGAUGUGCGAAAGCGUGGGGAUCAAACAGGAUUAGAUACCCUGGUAGUCCACGCCGUAAACGAUGAGUGCUAAGUGUUAGGGGGUUUCCGCCCCUUAGUGCUGCAGCUAACGCAUUAAGCACUCCGCCUGGGGAGUACGACCGCAAGGUUGAAACUCAAAGGAAUUGACGGGGACCCGCACAAGCGGUGGAGCAUGUGGUUUAAUUCGAAGCAACGCGAAGAACCUUACCAAAUCUUGACAUCCUUUGACAACUCUAGAGAUAGAGCUUUCCCCUUCGGGGGACAAAGUGACAGGUGGUGCAUGGUUGUCGUCAGCUCGUGUCGUGAGAUGUUGGGUUAAGUCCCGCAACGAGCGCAACCCUUAAGCUUAGUUGCCAUCAUUAAGUUGGGCACUCUAAGUUGACUGCCGGUGACAAACCGGAGGAAGGUGGGGAUGACGUCAAAUCAUCAUGCCCCUUAUGAUUUGGGCUACACACGUGCUACAAUGGACAAUACAAAGGGCAGCGAAACCGCGAGGUCAAGCAAA
rnacentral:rRNA from 1 species